rnacentral:rRNA from 1 species
CGGGGUGCAGCAGGCGCGAAAACUUUGCAAUAAGCGAAAGCUUGACAGGGCUAUCCCGAGUGCCAUCCGCUGAGGAAGGCUUUUACCCAGUCUAGAACGCUGGGGGAAUAAGGAGAGGGCAAGUCUGGUGUCAGCCGCCGCGGUAAUACCAGCUCUCCGAGUGGUGUGGAUGUUUAUUGGGCCUAAAGCAUCCGUAGCUGGCUAAGUCAGUCCCUUGUUAAAUCCACCGAAUUAAUCGUUGGAUUGCGGGGGAUACUGCUUGGCUAGGGGACGAGAGAGGCAGACGGUAUUUUCGGGGUAGGGGUGAAAUCCUAUAAUCCCGGGAAGACCACCAGUGGCGAAGGCUGUCUGCUAGAACGCGCCCGACGGUGAGGGAUGAAAGCUGGGGGAGCGAACCGGAUUAGAUACCCGGGUAGUCCCAGCUGUAAACGAUGCAGACUAGGUGUUUGGACGGCCACGUGCCGUUCUAGUGCCGCAGGGAAGCUGUUAAGUCUGCCGCCUGGGGAGUACGAUCGCAAGAUUGAAACUUAAAGGAAUUGGCGGGGGAGCAC